rnacentral:miRNA from 1 species
AGCUACAUUGCCCGCUGGGUUUC